rnacentral:rRNA from 2 species
AGAUUAAGUUAUUAAGGGCGCACGGUGGAUGCCUUGGCACUAGAAGCCGACGAAGGACGUUACUAACGACGAUAUGCUUUGGGUAGCUGUAAGUAAGCGUUGAUCCAGAGAUUUC